UUCCAGACUCCUACGGGAGGCAGCAGUGAGGAAUAUUGGUCAAUGGCCGAGAGGCUGAACCAGCCAAGUCGCGUGAGGGAAGACGGCCCUACGGGUUGUAAACCUCUUUUGUCGGGGAGCAAAGCGAACCACGUGUGGUUCAUUGAGAGUACCCGAAGAAAAAGCAUCGGCUAACUCCGUGCCAGCAGCCGCGGUAAUACGGAGGAUGCGAGCGUUAUCCGGAUUUAUUGGGUUUAAAGGGUGCGUAGGCGGAUUUUUAAGUCAGCGGUAAAAUGUCCGGGCUCAACCCGGGCCGGCCGUUGAAACUGGGGAUCUUGAGUGGGCGAGAAGUAUGCGGAAUGCGUGGUGUAGCGGUGAAAUGCAUAGAUAUCACGCAGAACUCCGAUUGCGAAGGCAGCAUACCGGCGCCCGACUGACGCUGAGGCACGAAAGCGUGGGGAUCGAACAGGAUUAGAUACCCGAGUACC
rnacentral:rRNA from 1 species